ACUAUAGAUGUGCACCUCCACACCUGGCUAAUUUUUUCUAUUUUUUUUUAUAGAGGCAGAAUCUCACUGUGUUGCCAUGCUGGUCUCUAACUCCUGGGUUCAGCAGUCCUCUUUCCACCUCCCAAAGUGCUGGGAUUAUAGUCAUGAGCCACUUCACCAGGCUCAUUUUCUCCUGAAAUGUCAAGGACAAAUCAUUAAUAAUGAGCAGGAAUUUUUAGGGGAAAAACAAUUUGGUUUACUGAUAACAAAAGGUAAUUGGAAACAUGAGAGUAUUUAUGAUUGGCCAAGCAGAACUGUGAAGUCCAUCAAAAUUCAUAUGAUGAAAUCUUCACCCUCAAGUUGAUAGAAGGUGGAGCCUUUGGGAAGUAUAAGAUAUGAGGGUGGAGCCCUCAUGAAUGGGAUUAGUGCCUUAUAAAAGGCCCCAGAGAGAUUCCUCAUACUCUCCACAGUGUGAGACUUCAAGGGGCCUGGUCUCUGAGGAAGUGGACUUUUCACAAGCACAAAUCAACCAGCACUUUAAUCAUGGACUUCCCAGUCUCCAGGACUGUGAGCAAUAAAUGUUUGACGUUUAUAAGCCACCCAGAUUGUGGCAUUUUGUUAUAGCAGCCUGAACAGACUAAGAUGGGGUGUUGCCUCCAUCAAAGAAUAUACUAACUUGUGGAUUAUUUGUGAAAUUGAAUUACAGUCAUUUCUGUAAGGUCUUUUACUGCUCCUUCCCCCACAAAAAAAAAACAAAGCAAAACUGAUUCAAAAUGUCAUACUUUAAUGAAACAUUUUAUAAUUUGCAAAUUUUUAAGUAAUUUGUAAAAAAUCUUGAUCAGUGGAUCUCCUCUCUAGCUGCUCAUUAGAAUUUCCUGUGGAGAUUAAAUUUUUUGUUUGUUUGUGGAUCAAGGGUUCUGACUUGUUUAGGGUAGGGUUCAGGAUCAUAGGGUUUCUGAAGCUCCCGGGUGAUUCUGCUGUGAGUUGGGGCUGCCAGUCCCUGAGCUAGAUUAUAAGAUGCUUCUGGGAAAUAACCGUAUUUUAGGAAUUUGCCUUCCAACCAGUGCCCUAUGUUUAAUCAGCACCUGAUGACUUGGCGGGGCUUGCCCCACCACGGUCUGGCUUUGAAGGGCAGUGGAUGCCAGGACCAUUUGGAUUAAUCUUCUGCCACCUCUUUCUUUUCCUCAACCAAGAGUGAAUUUAAUUUUAUUUAAUCUAGUGAAAGUCUACAAAUCAUAAUUGUAAUAAAUUAAGGCCAGGCAUUUGUUUUAUAUUAGAUAAGAUAAAGCCAAAGGUUUGAACAAGUUGUAGAUGGUUUGUAAACAUUAAUCUUGUAAAAUAAAUUCUCUGUGAACAUAUUUAUUAAAUUCAAAAGGGUAUUUGGUUUUUCUGUAAAUUGAACCUUGGAAUAAAAGCACAACAAGGUUUUCUUAAAGCACUGAUCUGCUCUUUUACAAGAAUUUGUAAAGGGUUAUAAAAGGUUUAUAAGAAUCUCACUUCAUGGUCAAACUGGUUAAGAUUGGAUAGAUUUAUCUAUAAGGUUUUAUUAAAAAUUGGGGAUGACGUUGUUAGUAGAUUGAUGCAAGGGUGUAAUUUGACUCUUGAACAAGAUUUUCAUGUAAUAGUCAAGGAUAAUGAAAGAUUUUUGUUUGCCUUGUGAAUAAACUACCAAAAAAAGAAGGGAAAGGAAAGAGACAAAUUGUUAGGAAAGUUGUCUUCCCUCUUACUGAGUAAAGGUUGUGUGCCUUUU